GGUGGGGAUGACGUCAAGUCCUCAUGGCCCUUAUGGUAGGGCUUCACACGUCAUACAAUGGUCGGUACAGAGGGUUGCCAAGCCGCGAGGUGGAGCCAAUCCCUUAAAGCCGAAUCGUAGUCCGGAUCGUAGUCUGCAACUCGACUACGUGAAGUCGGAAUCGCUAGUAAUCGCAGAUCAGCAUGCUGCGGUGAAUACGUCCCCGGGUCUU
rnacentral:rRNA from 1 species